GUGCUCGCUUCAGCAACACAUAUAGUAGAAUUGGAACGAUACAGAGAAGAUUAGCAUGGCCCCCACCGCGCAAGAAUGACAUGCAAAUUCAUGAAGUGUUCCAUAUUUUU
ensembl:snRNA U6 U6 spliceosomal RNA